rnacentral:lncRNA from 1 species
CUGUUCCCUCUAUCUUGAAACUCUGCCACCCUGAGGACAAGCCCAGGCUAGCCUGCUGGAGGGUGAUUGAUUAUAUAAAGGAAACUCAGUAUAGCAGAGCCGACAUCCUGAAGACUUCUGUGGGAGCAGAUGCCUAGCUGAAGCACAGCUGACAAGAGAGUCAUGAAAAAGCCAAAAGGAUCACCUGCUAAGUCCAUUUUAAAAUCAUGAUCUACAGAAAGGUUUAUUUGUCAUGUUGAUAUUGAGCUGGAGAUUGUAACACAGUGGUGUCAAGCUGAGAUGUGAACUAAAUUUUA